rnacentral:rRNA from 1 species
AGCAGCCGCCGCGGUAAAACAGAGGGUGCGAGCGUUAAUCGGAUUUACUGGGCGUAAAGCGUGCGUAGGCGGCUUCUUAAGUCGGAUGUGAAAUCCCUGAGCUUAACUUAGGAAUUGCAUUCGAUACUGGGAAGCUAGAGUAUGGGAGAGGAUGGUAGAAUUCCAGGUGUAGCGGUGAAAUGCGUAGAGAUCUGGAGGAAUACCGAUGGCGAAGGCAGCCAUCUGGCCUAAUACUGACGCUGAGGUACGAAAGCAUGGGGAGCAAACAGGAUUAGAUACCCCCGUAGUCCCUGUCUCUUAUAC